rnacentral:rRNA from 1 species
AUUCCAGCUCCAAUAGCGUAUAUUAAUGUUGUUGCAGUUAAAAAGCUCGUAGUUGGAUUUCUGCGUCGCGCAGCUCGGUCCGCCGCACUGCGGUGCGACUGUGGUUGGAGCGUCGCUUCUUUGUGGGGACUACUGGUGUCAUUAAUUUGAUGUCUUUAGGAACUGCAUCGUUUACUGUGAAAAAAUUAGAGUGUUCAAAGCAGGCUUAUGCCGUGAAUACAUUAGCAUGGAAUAAUAAGAUAGGACUUUGGUGGUCUAUUUUGUUGGUUUGCGUGUCGAGAUAAUGAUGAAUAGGGACAGUUGGGGGUAUUUGUAUUCCAUAGUCAGAGGUGAAAUUCUUGGAUUUAUGGAAGACAAACUAAUGCGAAAGCAUCUACCAAGGAUGUUUUCAUUA